rnacentral:rRNA from 1 species
UUAAAAAGCUCGUAGUUGGAUUUCUGCUUGAGAGGGACGGCAGGCGUCAUUGACGUUUAGUCUGACUUCUCGUGCAUCCUGCCACGAACCACGUUGCUCUUAAUUGAGUGGCGUCGGGGAUUGGCUCGUUUACUUUGAGAAAAAUAGAGUGUUCAAAGCAGGCUUACGCAUCUGAAUAAGUUAGCAUGGAAUAAUGAUAAAGGACUUUGGUUCUAUUUGUUGGUGUUCGGAACUGAAGUAAUGAUUGAUAGGGACAGUUGGGGGCAUCAGUAUUCCGAAGCGAGAGGUGAAAUUCUAGGACCUUCGGAAGACUAACCGCUGCGAAAGCGUUUGCCAAGGAUGUUCCCUUUGAUCAAGAACGAAAGUUGGGGGAUCGAAGACGAUCAGAUACCGUCGUAGUCUCAACUAU